GAAAUGCGAUACGUAGUGUGAAUUGCAGAAUUCCGUGAAUCAUCGAAUCUUUGAACGCAUAUUGCGCUCGAGGCUCCGGCCGAGAGCAUGUCUGUCUCAGCGUCGGCUCACCCCCUCGCCCUCCCUUCUCUUUCUCGAAAAGAGAGAGAAGGUGCCAGGAGCGGACGUGGCCGUCUCGGUUGUCUCCAGCAGAGAACCGGGUCGGCUGAAGCACAGGGCUUGCGGCGGACCCUCACAAAGGGGCGCCAGCAUGGUAGGUGGCUUCAUUGCUGCAUGCCGCUGUCGUCUUUCCUUGCCAUUGAGGCUGCUCCAGUGCCGCGCGGCCAAGCAGGAAACCUUCUUUCUUUUCGGGCCCGCUCGAAAGAACAGAAAAAACCCUUCGACCUGAGAUCAGACAAGA
rnacentral:misc_RNA from 1 species